UCUCCGUAGGUGAACCUGCGGAAGGAUCAUUAUUGAAUAAACUUGGUUGGGUUGAUGCUGGCCUCUCGGGGCAUGUGCACGCCUACCGCCAUUUUUACCACCUGUGCACCUUUUGUAGACCUGGAUAUCUCUCGAGGAAACUCGGUUUGAGGACUGCUGUGCGUAAGCCAGCUUUCCUUGCAUUUCCGGUCUAUGUUUUCAUAUACCCCAUUAGAAUGUUAUAGAAUGUCAUUAAUGGGCUUCAUUGCCUUUAAAAUUAAUACAACUUUCAACAACGGAUCUCUUGGCUCUC
rnacentral:misc_RNA from 1 species